CAAUUGAACUAAAUGUGGCUGAAGUGCAAUGGAGGAGUAUGGCAAGACAAAAAUUUCCACACAAUGUUUACCACCAGCCACACAGUGUGGCAGCAGAAAUGCCCAUGUUGCAGACAUGUCCGUCAGGUGGAAGGUCCCUGGGUAAGAAGUCUUUGUGGCUGAUGGUGUACGGCUUUGAGGUUCAGGAGGCCUGCCUCUGGUCUGAUCUUUGUGUGUGAUUUUCUUGGAUGGCAGAAAGGGUAAGAGCCAUACGCCCAUUAAAUGCUGUAACGUGACUCCCAUCUUCUGUCUGUGCUCACUCUCAUCUGCGUACGUGAGCACAUACAUAACCGUACAAAUAUACCUACCCAGAUGAAAGUCUGCAUCGGCUUUGGUCCUAUUGAAUUUUCUGAAAUGAUUUUUUCAGCUUGAUGGGUUUUAGCAUUAAAGUGAAUGAGUAAAGCAGCAUACUUCAGCAGCAUCGGUAGGAGGGAAGGGAGCAGGAGGGGUGUUUGAGAAAGGUAAAAGUGCACAUAAAACUGGAUAAAGUCACCUGCUGCUCCCCAUCAUGCAACCUAAGAAAUGUACAGGAAUUUACAAUGUACAAAUGUUCUGCUUUAUAACUACUGAAUUUCAUGGUUGCAUAUUUGCCACUUGUGAAUUUGUAACUGGAUAUUAGCAAUUUCCAAAUGGCUUGGGAUGUUUGUGCACACGUAGUACUUGAAAAGUGUGGUAAACAUAUGUAGCAACCUGUUUAUUCACUGCAGAGGGCACACAAGGAAAGAGAAAUGUUAAGAACUGUCAUGCAGUAAGCUUUCAAAGUGGCACGACCACAUUAAAUAUGCAAGCAUUAGCUGUUACGGUCCUCCAAACAUUUCCAUAUGGAUCUGAUAGAUGCAGUUAUAUUGUCCAAGUAAGAGGUGAAAGCCAAAGGGUUAUGGACAAGAAGAUGAUUUAAAUGUGAAUAAGCCAUUAGAAACUACUGGAAGUACAAGACCGGAAUUUUAUUUGAUCCCUUUGUGUUACCACUUGCUAAAUGGAAUAAGAUCCAGCCUGUGAGUGGUCCUGGGAUUAGACACCAGCAUGUGAGAGGUAAAACUGCAGAAUUAAAAUAACCCCUGGUUUUAUUCAUCUCUUCUGAAACAUGUCAAGUGUCACUUUUGUUGAUUACCAUAAAAACAGGAGUCACUUUCUUCUAAAAAUAUAAAAAAGUUAUCCUGGUACUAAGUAUUAGGUAAC
rnacentral:lncRNA from 1 species